CGGAGUGUAGCGCAGCCUGGUAGCGCACCUGCUUCGGGAGCAGGGGGCCGGAGGUUCGAAUCCUCUCACUCCGA
rnacentral:tRNA from 1 species